GACGAACGCUGGCGGCGUGCCUAAUACAUGCAAGUAGAACGCUGAAGGAGGAGCUUGCUUCUCUGGAUGAGUUGCGAACGGGUGAGUAACGCGUAGGUAACCUGCCUGGUAGCGGGGGAUAACUAUUGGAAACGAUAGCUAAUACCGCAUAAGAGUAGAUGUUGCAUGACAUUUGCUUAAAAGGUGCAAUUGCAUCACUACCAGAUGGACCUGCGUUGUAUUAGCUAGUUGGUGAGGUAACGGCUCACCAAGGCAACGAUACAUAGCCGACCUGAGAGGGUGAUCGGCCUCACUGGGACUGAGACACGGCCCAGACUCCUACGGGAGGCAGCAGUAGGGAAUCUUCGGCAAUGGACGGAAGUCUGACCGAGCAACGCCGCGUGAGUGAAGAAGGUUUUCGGAUCGUAAAGCUCUGUUGUAAGAGAAGAACGAGUGUGAGAGUGGAAAGUUCACACUGUGACGGUAUCUUACCAGAAAGGGACGGCUAACUACGUG
rnacentral:rRNA from 1 species